CUUUCGAUUCUCCUAGGUUCCUCCUUCUGUCCCUCGGCGGAAGAGAGGUUUUAUCUGAAGCUGAGGCAUAUGCUGUUUGGUGUGCUGGGUGACAACCUGAGAGGAAGAGCUGUUGGGUUUUCUUUGAUUUUAAGACUGCGCUCUUACAACCGCACUUGGGGGAGUAGUAAACUCAAUCCAGAGUCGGGGGGGGGGGGGGGUCGACCGGACUUGAACUUUAUCCAAGAUAAAGAUGGGAAGGAGAAGAGAGAUUGAAUAGACUCCAAGUCAAGCACGAAAACAGCUUGAAGUUACAUCUCUCUCCAACUCUGGUCGGUCUGUUGAACUUUACAGCAUCGGAAGGAGUGUGCACACCCAACUGCCAACAUGACUCAAGGACCACCAACAAUCAACAUGGAAAAUAUCUACGAGCUGUGUCACAUCCUGAAGCAAUUAGAGGUCUGCAUGAGCAGAGAGGAGCUGGAAUGUCUACUUGCCACACACCAGUCUCGGAAGACCUUGAUGACCAGCUACGGUUUGGACA